rnacentral:lncRNA from 1 species
GUACAUAAUAGAUAUGUGGGUUGUAAUUAAUAUUGCAUGAGAAGAAUUUUAUAUUGGUAUAAUUAUUAGAAGCGUUAAUCUGAGUUGAAAAUUGUGUUUGUGAUUGAAUGAAGUUUGGGGGUUAAAGGUUGAGAAUUAAUUGAAUUGAAAUUUUAUUAUUCAUAGAUGGAAUUAGAACCAGUUUAGGAUGGAGACUCUAGAGUAUUUUUGGUAGGAAAAAAUGUCAUGAAAUACAUGACAACAAUUAAUUGAAAAAAAUAAGAGAAGCACCACGGAACAUGACAUCUCCAUUUCGGUUAGUUAAAUAACCUUAUAGGGGUGUUGUAGUUAGUUGUAUUAGAGUUAACGUUUAGGCCGUUCUAGGUAUUUAGGAGAAGGAACAAGUAUAAGCAAAUGUAUAUAUCUUAUAAGUUAAGGUCAGGAUAUAACUCUACUAUAGGUUUUUGUAAGUUGUCUAAGAAUGUUAUUUGACAUUCAAUAUGUGUUAGAAGAUAGAGGUGAUAGUCUAAAGUCGUGAUCAAAAUAAUCUAUUCAAUGUUACAAAUGUGUGUGUUGUAAGCUGCAAAUUACAUUAUGGACAUUGGAGCAAUGAGGGGAAAUUGUGUGCAUCGCUUUUAAGAAUCUGCUAGGAUAUGGUAGAUGCCUUAUAUCUGAUGCAGUUGUAUUAUAACACGUUUCUAAUUGCUAUAAAGUGACUUCUAAUAAAAGUUUAUAUCCUUUUAAGAUAAAAUACUAGAGACAUCAGCAAUAAGGUAUAGGAAAAUUCUACGAUAGCGACAAUGAACUCGAAAAACAUAAUUAUUUUUGUGUUGUUUCUCAUUAAAAAGAGGAGUUUUAUAAACAUUGUGAUAUAAGAGAAAUGAAAAAAAGGAGAGCCAUAACUAGAUGAAAUGGGCUAGAACAUGUCAGUGACCAAUCAACUUGUUCACUUUUUACUGUAACGAUUGUUUGAUAUCGAAACAUAGUCAUAACCUUCGAGGGAAAUAAAUUUGGAUUAUUAUAAUACCAGAUUGAAGGGUUUUAAAGAAAGAUUAAUUAUUUAUAGGAUUAUAGAUAAAAAUAAAGCCACAAAAGAAAUCAUUGAAUUAGCUAAGAUAUAGGAGAACAAUUUUCAUAAAGGGACCAUGAGUGAAUUAGAUCCUUAAUAUUGUCAAAACUUGUCUAUAACUUAGGAUAGAAGCAUACAGAAGUACCUAAAAUGAAUAACUUGGAAAGCUUGUCAAAGAAACGGCAAUUGGCAUGCUAAUAGGUGCAAUUUAUGAUAUAAAACAACACUUGAAAGGCAGUGUCACAGUCUAGAUAUGAAAUGUAAGUUGGCAUUUAAAGUUAUAAAGUAUAGACGAAGUGUCGCAACUACCCGAAAUCCUCAUUCACUAGCAGACUAAAUGAAAUUGUUGUUUGAAAAAAAAAAGGAUAAUGGCAUAAAAAAAUCCGAAAUUUUAUUUCUUGGCACAAUAAAUUAGGAUUUAAAAAUAUUUAGCGAUUCUUUUCAAAUUUGAAUUGAAAGUGGGGGAGCAUCUGUCGGUAGCAAGCCACAUUGUAUUUUUUCAUUACUUGAAGGUGGACUCUACGCUACACCUUAAAUAACCAAGGUGAGACAUUAAUCCUCGUCCUUCGCACAAAAAAUUAGCCUUCUUGCUUCACUACCAUUUUGGCCUCAAAAAAGAAGAUAUUGCCUUCGUUCUUUCUCCUAACUCUAUUCACCUUUCGAUCCUUUAUUUCUAUAUCAUCUCUCUCGGUGUCGUUACCUCUCCUUAGAAAUCAAAUAUCUUUAAACCUGAGAUUCUUCACCAAAUUCAGCUGUCGAAACCUGUAAUUGGGUUCGUCACGUCGAAUGGUGCUCAUACAAUUCCUAAUCUCAGAACAAUCAUACUCGACUCUCUCGAGUUUGAAUCGCUAAUGAUGAGUGUAGCUCACUGUGGAGAAAUGGAAGGAGAAAAGGUUUACUAAUUGGACCCUGCGACGAUUCUCUAUGCUCACGGACUACUGAUCGAGUUAAUGGAGUCGUUUUGACUCAUCGAAAUUUCACAUGUAUGGUGGCAGUAAGUCAUGCGGUUUACACGACCCGAUUGGCAGCUACAACUUCCUUUUUCCCGUUGCCUCAUUUUCAUGUUUAUGGUUUGUGUUAUUUCGUGAGUGCUUUAACUAUAGGAGCAGCGGUGGUGUCCAUGGUUAAAUUUGAUAUGAAGGCAAUGUUGACAGUAAUUGAGGAGAGUAAGGUCACUCACGUAGCACAGACUGCACCGGCGGUGGUACUGAUGACUAAGGAUCCUAGGUUGUUAGACGACUAUGAUUUGAGCUCUCUAGAUGUUGUAGCCUGCAGAGUUGCUGCAGAGUUGCUUCGCUUAGGAAAAGCGUAGUUAAACUAUUUUGGCAAUAAUUUCCAAAUUUGACUUUAAGUCAGGUUAGUUAAACACCAAACUUGGAUUUUUAGCAUUAACCGAUAGUUAAUUUCUCACAUUGGUUAUUCAAUGUGUAGCGUAUGAUCCACCGUUAAGUAAUAAAACAAUACAGAAGGAACGUCACGUUAGCCACCGGCAAAUGCUCCCCCACUUACAUUUGAAAUUUGAAUUGAAUCGCUAAAUGUUUUUAAAUUCUAAGUUAUUGCAGCAAGUAAAAUCUUUUUAAUUAAAAUGCAAAAAUCCUUAAAGGUUUAAAUUUUUUAUGCCAUUAUCCAAAAAUAUAUUAAUAAAUAAUAUGGUCACUCAAUCCAUUAUUCUUUCUCAUUGUUGACACUUGGUACCUUUGAAGAGUUGAUUUGAGUUGAAAAUUGUGUUUGUGGUUGAUGGAAGUUUAGGAAAGUCAAGAUUGAGAGUUCACUGAAUUGAAAUUUUAUCAUUCACAGAUGGAAUGAGGACCAAUAUAUAGAGGAGACUGCCAAAUUUUCUAUAGGAAAAAACUUUUGGAUUAAAAUUUAAAAUCUUCAAAGAUUUGGAAUAUUUGUGCUUUUGCCCCUAAAAAAUAUUACUAAACAAGAGACACUCAUUCGUGAUUCCUUUCUCAAUAUUGACACUUGACAUAAUGAAAAUUGUACAAAUAUGGCAUGUACAUAAUAAAUAUGUGGGUUGUAAUUAAUAUUACAUGAGAAAAAUUUUAUUUUGGUAUAAUUAUUAGAAGAGUUGAUCUAAGUUGAAAAUUGUUUUUGUGAUUGAAUGAAGUUUGGGGGUUAAAGGUUGAGAGUUCAUUGAAGUGAAAUUUUAUUAUUCAUAGAUGGAAUUAGAACCAGUUUAGAAAGGAGACUCUAGAGUAUUUUCGGUAGGAAAAAAUGUCAUGAAAUACAUGAUAAUAGUUAAUUGAAAAAA